UGUGCCAGCAGCUGCGGUAAUACGGAGGGUGCAAGCGUUAAUCGGAAUUACUGGGCGUAAAGCGCACGCAGGCGGUUUGUUAAGUCAGAUGUGAAAUCCCCGGGCUCAACCUGGGAACUGCAUUUGAAACUGGCAAGCUAGAGUCUCGUAGAGGGGGGUAGAAUUCCAGGUGUAGCGGUGAAAUGCGUAGAGAUCUGGAGGAAUACCGGUGGCGAAGGCGGCCCCCUGGACGAAGACUGACGCUCAGGUGCGAAAGCGUGGGGAGCAAACAGGAUUAGAUACCCUGGUAGUCCACGCUGUAAACGAUGUCGAUUUGGAGGUUGUGCCCUUGAGGCGUGGCUUCCGGAGCUAACGCGUUAAAUCGACCGCCUGGGGAGUACGGCCGCAAGGUUAAAACUCAAAUGAAUUGACGGGGGCCCGCACAAGCGGUGGAGCAUGUGGUUUAAUUCGAUGCAACGCGAAGAACCUUACCUACUCUUGACAUCCAGAGAACUUUCCAGAGAUGGAUUGGUGCCUUCGGGAACUCUGAGACAGGUGCUGCAUGGCUGUCGUCAGCUCGUGUUGUGAAAUGUUGGGUUAAGUCCCGCAACGACCGCAACCC
rnacentral:rRNA from 1 species